UACGGGGGAUGCAAGCGUUAUCCGGAAUCAUUGGGCGUAAAGCGCCUGUAGGUUGUUUAAUAAGUCUGUUGUUAAAGACUGGGGCUUAACCCCAGGAAAGCAAUGGAAACUACUAGACUAGAGUAUGGUAGGGGUAAAGGGAAUUUCUAGUGUAGCGGUGAAAUGCGUAGAUAUUAGAAAGAACACCGGUGGCGAAAGCGCUUUACUGGACCAUUACUGACACUCAGAGGCGAAAGCUAGGGUAGCCAAAGGGAUUAGAUACCCCUGUAGUCCUGGCCGUAAACGAUGAACACUAGGUGUCGGGGGAUCGCCCCGGUGUCGUAGCUAACGCGUUAAGUGUUCCGCCUGGGGAGUACGCACGCAAGUGUG
rnacentral:rRNA from 1 species